UACGGAGGGGGCGAGCGUUAUUCGGAAUUAUUGGGCGUAAAGGGCGCGUAGGCGGCUGUACAAGUCAAAGGUGAAAUCCCUCGGCUCAACUGAGGAACUGCCUUUGAAACUGUACGGCUUGAGGGCGGGAGGGGGUAGCGGAAUUCCCAGUGUAGCGGUGAAAUGCGUAGAUACUGGGAGGAACACCAGUGGCGAAGGCGGCUACCUGGACCGGUACUGACGCUGAGGUGCGAAAGCGUGGGGAGCAAACAGG
rnacentral:rRNA from 1 species